AAACUUUCAACAAUGGAUCUCUUGGCUCUCGCAUCGAUGAAGAACGCAGCGAAAUGCGAUAAGUAAUAUGAAUUGCAGAAUUCCGUGAAUCAUCAAAUCUUUGAACGCAAAUUGCACUUCUUGGUAUUCCGAGGAGUAUACAUGCUUGAGGGUCAG
rnacentral:rRNA from 1 species